CUCCUAUAUUGGCUGUGCAGUUCAACUCUUCUUCUUCUGCACAUUUGGUACAACUGAAUGUUGCCUUUUUGCUGUAAUGGCCUAUGAUCGCUAUGUUGCAAUAUGUAACCCAUUAAACUACAACAUUGUCAUGCGAUCAACUACUUGUAUGGUACUAGUGUCUGGAGCUUUCACUAUUGGCUUUGUGAAUGCCUUGAUUGAGAUAUGUUUUACAUUUCAUCUCUACUUUUGUGCAUCUAAUAUUCUCCAUCAUUUUGUUUGCGACUUUCCUCC